ACUAGGUUAAAAAUGUGUGCCACCACACCAGGCCAUUUCUUUUCUUUUUGAACUUGGAUUAUCAAAGAUGAGCAAAAGGAUAGCUCUUAUUAUCAGAAUUCCUGAGAGGAACUGUAUUAACUAAAAAAUGGAUCAAAGACCUAAAUCUGAGUUAAUAAUGUAAGUCUUAGAAGAAAACAAAUCUUCAUGACCUUGGAUUGGCCAGUAUUUUCUAACAUAUGACUUUUAAAGCACAAGUAAUCAAAAGAAAAUAGAUUAACUGGACUUCAUCCAAUAUGAAAAAUUUUUGUGCUUCAAGGGCUAGGGGUAUAGGUCAGUGAUUGAGCGCUUGCCUAGCAUGUGUGAGAGGCUCUGGGUUCUAUCCCCAGCACCACAAAACAAAACAAAAAACUUUUGUGCUUCAAAAGUUAGUAUCAAGCUAAAGUGAAAAGAUGGAUUUGACCAUCAAAAAAGCUGAAAACAUAAGUCUUUAGUUCCGUACCUCAGAACCUCAAGAAGAGGGUGUAAGAGGACAACCUAGAAAUGAGUCUAAUAUUUAGAGUACAUUAAAAAAAGGCCUUAAUGGGCUGGAGUUGUGGCUCAGUGUUAGAGCGCUCGCCUUGCACAUGCGAGACCCUGGGUUCGAUCCUCAGCACCACAUAAAAAUAUAUGAAUAAAUUAAAGGUAUUGUGUCCAACUACAACUAAAAAAUAAAUAUUAAAAAAAGGCCUUCAACGGCAGAGGGACAAAGAGCCCCAGGCUUAUUUAUUUAUUUUUAAGACAGUGUCUUACCAAGUUGUCCAGGCUGGCCUUGAACUUGGGAUCCUCCUGCCUCAGCCUCCUGAGUUGCUGGAAUUACAGGUGUUGUCAACAUGCCUGUCAAUCCUUUCACUUUUUAAACAGUAUCUUUAGAAGAGAAGUUCUUGAGGUUAGAAAUGAUGGUGGAAUGUGAUGGAUGUUACUAUCCAAAGUACAGUAUGAAGACAUGAAUUGUGUGAAUAUACUUUGUAUACAACCAGAGAUAUGAAAAAUUGUGC
rnacentral:lncRNA from 1 species